UACGGGGGGGGCAAGCGUUGUUCGGAAUUACUGGGCGUAAAGGGCGUGUAGGUGGCCAACUAAGUCCGACGUGAAAUCCCCAGGCUUAACCUGGGAACUGCGUCGGAUACUGGAUGGCUUGAAUUCGGGAGAGGGAUGCAGAAUUCCAGGUGUAGCGGUGAAAUGCGUAGAUAUCUGGAGGAAUACCGGUGGCGAAGGCGGGUCUCUGGGCCGUAACUGACGCUGAGGAGCGAAAGCGUGGGGAGCGAACAGG
rnacentral:rRNA from 1 species